UUUGACAAACGCUGUAUUCAUGUAAUAUAGAGGAAAGUCCAUGCUCACAUAGUCUGUGAUGACUAUAGUGUUCGUGUAUAGGGAAAAAAUAACCUAUAGCAGUUUAUAACUGACGGAGUUGAAAUAGCCUAAAUCUUUGACAUGGCUAAAGUAAACGUAAAGGGCCAAAGAGACGAUUAAGUCCAAAAGGAUGGAAGUGGAACGUGGUAACCCCCGCGAGUGAGAAACCCAAAUUAUGGUAGGGGAAUUCACAUAAGAGAAACAGAAUCAAGUGUGGAAUCGAGUGAUCGAUAGAUAAAUGUUUGUCACCGUAAGGUACAGAACAUGGCUUAUAA
rnacentral:RNase_P_RNA from 1 species